AGGAAUGUAGUUAUUAUAUAACAUUUAAUUUGCAAUUAAAAAGUAACUAAUAAUUAUUAGUCUUUCUUU
rnacentral:tRNA from 1 species